rnacentral:lncRNA from 1 species
UUGGCAAAAAAAUUAAUGUUUUUAUAACAUAGAGAGAAACCCAUUACAAUUUUCUAAAAAAUGAUAAGAUAUUUUAUAAGUAAAUUUCUAAAAAUCUGAUCGUUUUUGUCUAGGCCAUUUUGGUGGUCAAUGUGGCCUUUAGAACCCAUCCAUAACUUUUGGAUCGGGUUAGGGAGGUUACAGGGAAUCUCGGGUUACAGUCAGCUCAAAGACAGAAGCAAUCAAGUUAGGGUUAGGGUUGAAACGCUUAGAGAGAAAACACUCCUUGCAUGACACGUUUUCCAUUGACAUGUCAGACAAAUGACAUGAAAGCUUGCCCUAUAGGAAGCGUUUUCAAUUGAGAUCUAAGUGUUUGAACCUUAACCCUAACUUGAUUGGUUCUGUUUCUGAGCCAAUUGCAACCCAAGAUUCUCGAGAUAAAAUUUAUUAUUACUGCCUUACUGAAAACGUCGCUGCAGGGGAGUGUUUUCUCCCCCACCAUUUUCAACUUCAGACAUUACAACCCAAGAAAUACAUGAUAUUAUAGAACACGUUUACUGGAAACACCCCCUACGAGGAGCAUUUUUUCCCUCUCAAUUUUCAACUUCAACUCUAUGCCUUGAGUUUACAUACCGACCUUUCAAGUAGAUUGUUUCCAUAAGGGUACCUGGCAUUAUGAGAAGUGGGUUGUCGUCAAAAACUUGAAUUUCAUGGUAGUUGUCUGAGUAAAGGUAAUUCGUUAAAUUACGUGUAGGUAAUUUAAUUUGGGUGAUGAUGACUAUAUAUAUAUAUUUAUUAUUUUUUCGAUUUUAAACUUGUGGAACAUGCUAUUUACUUAAAGAUGAGUAGACGAUUCAGAGCUAUUAUCCAUUACAAUGAUUAAAUUUGUGAGACUGAGGUUGGGCCCAUUUUUGUAUCAGCCCAAUCUGAAGAUCCGCCAUUCAAUUGGAGCAUAACGUUAAAAGAACUUCGAGCAAGGAUUAGGCACAAAGUGGGGAUCCGCAGAAGAAUUUCGAGCCUAAAAUGUAGAUAUCUAACGUAAUUCAACCCCGUUAGAUAUGUCAUUUUUUAGAUCACCAGGAAUAACGAGUUGGAGACGGUGAUUGAAUCCUAUUGCUCUAGUGGGAAUGCUGUACUAGAGUUAUAUGCUGACUUCGUCGAAGAGGACAAAGGUGGCCUGAUCUCGAUUACACCAUGUCCUCCAAAUUCCACGGCAAAUCAAGAAGCAAAAAGUCCGACCACACGGUUGUGUGGUGGAUUCACAUCAUUGCUACAAAACUCAUACCAAGACACCAAGGAAUCGUUCGACAUUCAUCAGUUUUGCCCCUUGGUUACAACUUCAGGGGAAUAAAAUAAAAUCGAAGGGUUCAGAGAAAAAUUUUAAAAAAAUUUAAGAAUUGAGAAUUUUGAAUAAAAAAUCAAGAAUUAACAAUUGAGAAUAAAAAAAAUUUGAGAACUAAAAAGUGAGAAUUGAUAAUUGAGUUG